AUGGGACGAUCCCCCUCCCCAGUCUGCCUGCGCCCAUGUUUCUCCGGCUCUGCUGUCUACAUGUUCACACCAUCCCGGGAAGAAGCGGCGUGCGACAGGGCUGAUCAUGUACAAGUAAGGAAGUCAGUAUCUCCGCGUCCAGCUGCUGCCUUAUGGGCUGGACGCACGGAGUCCAGCAUGCAGGAUCUGGAAGGAAGAGGAGGUGACCAGUGUGGGCCUCAGGGUCUGUCUCUGGGCAGGAGGGAGACGAGGGGCACAGGGGCAGGCCAGCCCCCAGGCCCCUGGCAAAGCACUGGGGCAGCCGGCUGGCCCGCUGCUGUCCAGGGGCGCAGCGGUCGGCAUGGUCUGCAGGCCUCUGAGCUCUGCCUCUCCCGUCAUGGGGGGCGGGGGCUGCUGUGUCACUGUCACCAGGAGUGGCUUGUGGAAGGGACCGCAGAGCGGAGUGGGGUCGUUGCUGGGGAAGCACGAGAAGCAGACCAGGGGGGGAUGGGUCAGGAGAGGAGCCCCAGGCAUGGCUGUGGGGCCUGCAGGCUGUUCUUGAGGGUGAGGGUCGUGCAGUCGGAGCGUAGGGCCUCACAGCAGCAGCGCUGUGGUCAGCAGAGAGCAGGGGACGGCGGCCCGGGCUGCGCGGGCCCUGAGUGUGGGGAAGACCCGAGCACCCUGAGGGAGGUGUCCCCGGGCGUGCUCUACGAAUGGUCCCCUGUCCUAUCCGGGAUGCAGCCUCAGCCUCGUCCACCUGCACCCCCACCCCCCGAAGCAGCAGCUUCCAGAGCCCCACAUCCUGAUCUUGCAGUGCUGCUCGGGGCCCAGCGGAACGAGGGUGGGAUGUGCGAGGGGCCACCUGGGUCCAGCCCGCCUCCAGGGUCCCACACGUGGCUUCCCGGGAUGGAGGGUGGUUCCCCUGGGGCGCCGCUGUCUGCAAAUGCUGAGCUGAGGGGAAGCCGCGGCUCCGGGGUCGAGCUUGCCGGAGGGGGUGACCAGGAGAUGGGGGUAGGUGGGCAGUGGAGGCCCGUCUCUGCCUCCUCCUCCAGUCUAGCUCAGACAUGA
rnacentral:lncRNA from 1 species